UACGUAGGGCGCAAGCGUUAUCCGGAAUUAUUGGGCGUAAGGAGCUCGUAGGCGGUUUGUCGCGUCUGCCGUGAAAGUCCGGGGCUUAACUCCGGAUCUGCGGUGGGUACGGGCAGACUAGAGUGCAGUAGGGGAGACUGGAAUUCCUGGUGUAGCGGUGAAAUGCGCAGAUAUCAGGAGGAACACCGAUGGCGAAGGCAGGUCUCUGGGCUGUAACUGACGCUGAGGAGCGAAAGCGUGGGGAGCAAACAGG
rnacentral:rRNA from 1 species